GGCCAGUUAGCUCAGUCAGUUCAGCAUGGCGCUGACAACGCCAAGGUCACAGGUUCGAUUCCCGUUUUGUCCC
rnacentral:tRNA from 1 species